AGUGAACGCUGGCGGUAGGCCUAACACAUGCAAGUCGAACGGCAGCACAGUAAGAGCUUGCUCUUACGGGUGGCGAGUGGCGGACGGGUGAGGAAUACAUCGGAAUCUACUUUUUCGUGGGGGAUAACGUAGGGAAACUUACGCUAAUACCGCAUACGACCUACGGGUGAAAGCAGGGGAUCUUCGGACCUUGCGCGAUUGAAUGAGCCGAUGUCGGAUUAGCUAGUUGGCGGGGUAAAGGCCCACCAAGGCGACGAUCCGUAGCUGGUCUGAGAGGAUGAUCAGCCACACUGGAACUGAGACACGGUCCAGACUCCUACGGGAGGCAGAAGUGGGGAAUAUUGGACAAUGGGCGCAAGCCUGAUCCAGCCAUACCGCGUGGGUGAAGAAGGCUUUCGGGUUUUAAAGCCCUUUUGUUGGGAAAGAAAAGCAGCAGGUUAAUACCCCGCUGUUCUGACGGUACCCAAAGAAUAAGCACCGGCUAACUUCGUG
rnacentral:rRNA from 1 species